GGGGUAAGUGAAAGCCAUUUGAUAAAAUUGAAACGAUACAGGGAAGAUUAGUAUGACCUCUGUACAAAGAUGACAUACAUAAAUCGAAAAAUGAUUCAAAUUUUU